UCCUCUGUAGUUCAGUCGGUAGAACGGCGGACUGUUAAUCCGUAUGUCACUGGUUCGAGUCCAGUCAGAUGGA
rnacentral:tRNA from 1 species